UACAGAGGGUGCGAGCGUUGUUCGGAAUUAUUGGGCGUAAAGGGCGCGUAGGCGGCGCCACAAGUCACCUGUGAAAACUCUGGGCUCAACCCAGAGCCUGCAGGCGAAACUGUGGUGCUGGAGUAUGGGAGAGGUGCGUGGAAUUCCCGGUGUAGCGGUGAAAUGCGUAGAUAGUCGGGGGGAACACCUGUGGCGAAAGCGGCGCACUGGACCAUAACUGACGCUGAGGCGCGAAAGCUAGGGGAGCAACAGG
rnacentral:rRNA from 1 species